CGGCAGCACGGGGGCAACCCUGGUGGCGAGUGGCGAACGGGUNAGUAAUAUAUCGGAACGUGCCCAAGAGUGGGGGAUAGCCCGGCGAAAGCCGGAUUAAUACCGCAUACGAUCUAUGGAUGAAAGCGGGGGAUCGCAAGACCUCGCGCUCCUGGAGCGGCCGAUAUCUGAUUAGCUAGUUGGUGGGGUAAAAGCCCACCAAGGCGACGAUCAGUAGCUGGUUUGAGAGAACGACCAGCCACACUGGGACUGAGACACGGCCCAGACUCCUACGGGAGGCAGCAGUGGGGAAUUUUGGACAAUGGGGGCAACCCUGAUCCAGCAAUGCCGCGUGAGUGAAGAAGGCCUUCGGGUUGUAAAGCUCUUUUGUCCGGAACGAAACGGUGAGCGCUAAUACCGCUUACUAAUGACGGUACCGGAAGAAUAAGCACCGGCUAACUACGUGCCAGCAGCCGCGGUAAUACGUAGGGUGCAAGCGUUAAUCGGAAUUACUGGGCGUAAAGCGUGCGCAGGCGGUUGUGCAAGACAGAUGUGAAAUCCCCGGGCUUAACCUGGGAAUUGCAUUUGUGACUGCACGGCUAGAGUGUGUCAGAGGGGGGUAGAAUUCCACGUGUAGCAGUGAAAUGCGUAGAUAUGUGGAGGAAUACCGAUGGCGAAGGCAGCCCCCUAGGAUAACACUGACGCUCAUGCACGAAAGCGUGGGGAGCAAACAGGAUUAGAUACCCUGGUAGUCCACGCCCUAAACGAUGUCUACUAGUUGUCGGGUCUUCAUUGACUUGGUAACGCAGCUAACGCGUGAAGUAGACCGCCUGGGGAGUACGGUCGCAAGAUUAAAACUC
rnacentral:rRNA from 1 species